GACAGUAUUGACGUUUAUGAAAAUCAUUUUUAUCUUCCUUCCAGUCAAGUUAAUGAAUUUCCAGUUUCUAUUGUGUUAUGUACGUUGCUGUGAUUUCCGUGCACGCUCUUGUAGAUAAAACAGAAGUUCGUUAGGAUAAAAAAUAACUAUUUUUAUUGUGAUUUCGAGAUUGAUCCGCUCUUUAACUUAUGCCUUAAAUCUAGUGCAAUUUUUUUAAGAACUGUCGUGUAAUAAAUGAAGAAAUAAAAUUGUGCAUGUAAGAUUGUGAGUACUGUUUAAAAAAAUUGUAUCAAUAAAAACGUCGUAACACGUAGUAUUUGCAUUAAGGAAUUAUUGUAAAAUGUCUGGAGUACUUGCCGGUCAUGUGUCUAAACGCAAAAGAGGUCAACAUGUAAAAAGUCGUGCAGUGCUGAGAAUGAUGGCAAUAAUGCAGGACAGGAAUAGAGAAGAAGUGCCCAAGGAGUUCUUGGAGACGGGACGCACGGGACGGAGGAAUGCCAUGCCGGACAUCCUGCAUCCACAAGGCGCGGAGGUUACGACCGCGGAUCUGCCGUCCAGGCUGCAACAGCUCGUCACCACUGAUCCCGACAAUCCACAGGCGGGCGCAUCGACGACGGAUCUGGACGUUAAGAAAGCAGACGAACAGACCGCUAAAAAGGACAGCUGCAGUUGAGCUGUCGGUCUCACUCAAGGUCGAAAGACCGAACUGGACUAGCCCAAAGCUAAAGUAAUCUCAACCAGGUAUAGUAUUACGUAGUCACACUUCCGCAGGGGCGCGGUCGUACAAAUGUAGUUUAGGCGUUUUUAGUUUGACAAAUGAAGUUUGACAUAACAUUGACGUUUGACGUCAUCUGUAAUGGUAUCUAUGAAAUGAUUUAUUAAUUUACUGUGCACCAAUAAUAUUAUCCCAAACGAUCGUUUUCAAUAAGGUCCGCAAAGGCUUCGUGGGUAUAUAUCGACUUGGCUUUGACACUGUCGUGAAUAAAUCUAUGUGCGGCGGUAAAACCAACUCGAUCGAAAACCCAAACUGCUUUCAUUGGCUAAUGUUAAAAACGUCAAAAAGUUUCUUGAAGAGCAAUGAAAUCAGAUAAUAUUUAUAUGAAUCAUUGUUUGCCUAGUAACUGAUAAUAUCAUUUUAUGAAUACAAAAAUCGUUCGGUUGUUUUAUGUUUUUGUACGAAUAAAAUUAUUGACACAGUGACGAUGUAGUAUGGCAGCUUUUUUACAUGAUAAAUGUCACAAUGAGUCGUUUUGUUCCUUUCAACAUUAUAACAAAUUUAAUUCUAAACUAUAUUUUCAAAUGUAAUUCUUAUAUUUAUACGAUUGUUAUAAUCUGUAAUUAAAAUAUUUUUUUCAUGCAGCUUGUCUAUGGGUUCUGUUGAGACAUUUUCCACAACUGUUACAUUACAGACUGAUCAGACGAUAUUUUUACACACGCUUAAUAGGGAUAUUUGCUAAAUUGAAUUGUGUACAUUGGCUUAAAAGCAAAUGCCACCAAUAAGAAAACUUGCGAAAACAGCAUCGAAAUUAGUUAAGUGUAAUGAGUAAGUGAUGUGUGAAUGAGUAGUAAGGAAAUAUUUCCCAACUCCCUCGCACCCCUACAAGCGACGCCUUAAACAGUUGUGAAUACUCUUAUUUUUACUUCACUACUAAUCCCACUACAAAAGCUUAAAAGCUUUCUGACUUCGUUCAUUUAUAAACCGAUUUAUUCUUGCAAAUAAAUAUAUUUUAAGUGACAACACUAUUUAAACAAAAAGCACACACGUAUUCGAAUUUUGUGUAUAAAUUGAUUUUAUAUUACAUAACAUUGCUUAUUCGUUAAUCUUAAAGAAAGAUAUGUAAAAACAAGUGAAAGUAAUUAGACAAUACAAUUUAUUCUAGAAUAGUGAAAUAGAAAAGUGAUUAAGAAUGUGCGUGUUUGUAGUUGAAUUUUUACUGUAGAUUUUGCUAUUAUAUUGAAAAACCUAUAUUCGGCUUUUUCUGUACAAAAGUAUAUUUGUGAGUAAAUUGUAUCGAUUAAAUAUUGUGCGUAAUUGAUGUGGCAAAAGGACAUAGUGUUGACUGUGGGGUUGCCAGAUAAAAUGAAUUAACUCGUAAAAUAUAUUAAUGGCGCCACAUGAUGACACCUUAAUAUCUAAAUAAAAAAUGUCAAUUUUGUUUAAAAGACUAAUAAUCCUUAAUAUUGGAUUUGUAUUGAUAUAUUUGGCAAGCGAUUAGAAUAUUAUUAAAAUUUAUGGUUCAUGUUUUGCAUGUAUGUGAGUAAUGUGUAAUGUUCGGUCUUGCUGCCUGUGGUUGAAUAAUGAAGAAAAUGUAAGUACAUUUUUACAUUUUCUAAAUUAUUUGUGUAUUUUAUCAAUCAUUACAUCUAACAAUAUUGGUAGAAGUGGCCCCAUGAUGUUUUGACCAACAGAAAGCUAGCACCAGACUAGAAUUGGAUAUAGUGAGAAAUUAAACAUAUCAAAUGAGUUGAUUAGUCUCAGAUAAACGAAUCUGCCUUUUUAAAAUAUAUUUUAGCAAACAGAAAAUCCAAUAAAGAUUGUUUUUUACAAAACAUUUCUUCAAUUUUCUUUAACACAGCUGUUAUGUUGAUUAAUUUAUCGCCACGUGCAAAUGCAAGUAAAGAAAGUGGACUUUAAUCUAUUGCUACGUCUAUUUGGUAGGAAAUUCGUUCUUAAUUCUACACAGAAAUUAAUUUUAUAACUUCAUAUGUUAUCAUCAUUGCUAUUUUAUUGACAUUCUACAUCAAUUCGAACUACUAUUCAAACAGGAAAUAAUUAACUUUAAAAGAAGUCCUCUUUCUUUACAUGCAUAUUGAAAUGUUUUUGUUUUGUUCAGAUUGUUCUAAAAUUUUUUUCUAGUGAGGUCGAAUAUAAAUUUGAACUCAAAUAAGCGCGCCGUCUUCGAGCUCACAAAGUAUAACACAGACGUACUAUCAAUUUUUCUCAAUUUAUUCGAAAAAUCUGUCAAUAAAAAUAAAGUUGGACAUAGUACAUAGCGGGGUACUAUAUAGCAGCCCUCUGUCGCGUCACAUUUGUUACGAUCAAGAAAUACAGUUAUUUCUAAAUUUGUAUGUAAUCGAUUUUUAUGGGUUGACGAACAGAUUUCUCUUCAUCGGACCGACAUUGUAUGUGAAGAAUUCGUGAAAGAUUUGUAAGUGGACUUCUAUACAAUUAAAAAUUUUCAAUCGAUCAAACGAACGGCCCACGAUAUUAUCCAUUAGCCUGACUAAUUUUAUUAUAUCGUCUACUUGCAUUAAAAUUGUAUAAUCUCAAACUUCCUAAUUUUACAGGAGAGUGUUUUAAAGGGUUGCAACACUUUAUUUUUUAUCAGUUACAUUAUCUGUCUUUUAAAGUAAGAUAUAAUGAUGUAUCAAUUUGGUAAUAGUAGUCAAAACAUAGGUAAACUAAAAAAGAAAACUAAAACUAGACUAUGAUCUUUUGACAGUAUUUAUGAGAAAAAUACUGGUGAUACCAAAUGAUUCCGCAUAUUAACUCAAUUUCGAAUAUUUUUGGAAAUUGUACACUUUUAAUGCGAAAAGACGAUAUAUGUACCUACUAUUUAUAGAUAGCUGUUAAACUAGGAAUCACAGAAAGUCUGUUGGACCGAACAGUUUUAUUUAAAAAGGAAAGUAUGAUGUGUAAAAAAAAGUUCGUGUAUUAUAAUAUUUUAUGUUAAAAUUUCGUAACUUCCUAAUUAUAUUUAAUGUAUACGCUUAGUUAUUUAUUUUUAGUAUUCAUUAGGAUUUUAUUUAUUGAUUUCUGUUUACGUGCUGUCGGUACUGGAUUAGAAAUAAAGAAAUCAUUUUAGUUUUUCAGCUAGACGUUUAACGUUUGUAUUUUGUGUCUUGUCUAUAUGACGUCAAAUGAAUAAUUUCUUAAUAUUUAAUUAAACGCACAAAAUAUAUGUACGUAUGUACAAUGGAAUUAAAGUUACACAAUAUCUUAUGAUUUUUGAAAUGCAGAACUUUGUUUGCUGUUAAGGUCUGAAAAAAUAAUACAGAUAUAAUAUAGAUAUAUUUUUAAACUAAACUUGUUGAAGAAAGCUCAACAUGUAAUAGACAAAAUGAACCAAGAACAAAGAAUCUCACAACGCAAUUUCCACGUAAUAAUGUCAUGUACUAUAAUGCCUGUAUACAUUUAAACAAUGGGAAAUAUGAAGCGACCCUUAAGAUUAAGAUUUUCACACGUUGCGCUUUUGUUUUUCAUGCAACAGGACUUAUAGAUUUAUCAAACCGUUUGCCGUCCCUAGAGUUCAUGAAGUCGCGAAUUAAUAUCACAGUUUGACUAAUAUGAAUGAUCUGGAAAAUCACACCUUACGUAAUAUCCACAUUGAAUAAAAAUUAAAUGAGAAAUGUUGGUAGCUAAAUUUUGUAUCGUUAAGUACACUUUUUCUAUUGGAUGAGUGAUUGUUCCAAAAUAUUCGUGAAGGUUCUUAAAUUCGUCUUCUUCUUUGUCUCCGCCUUAUCCCACUAGAUGGGGUCGGGAGAGCGAAAAUUUCUAUUCCAUUGUCUGCUAUCAGCCGUCGUCUCAAAACUCAGUCCUUUCUCUCUCGUAUCGUCAUUCACACACUCUAUAUAUGUCUUCUGCGGUCGACAUCUUCCCCCUCUACUGUGAAGGAUCUUGACGUGUGGUUCGAUUUUAUAGGGGUACUGUGUUUUAAUUAUCAAUUUUGACUAUGCGGUCCAUUUUUGCUCUACAAAUGAAAAAUAAAGAUACACAUUUUAAAUGGCAUAUAGCGUUACCAUUGACCAUUCAGUAAAUAUAAAACAAUAUAGCGAAUUUGUUCUACAUUGUGAAACUGUGAUUGAAAUUGCCUAACGAAAAAAAUGUUUUUUUUUUCAUACCAUAUUUAAAUGUCAAAAAUUUGAUGAUACAUUUAUUUAUACUCCGUGGUUUCAUUGUAUCUUUUUUUUUCAAUCCGUUUUAAAUGUAAAAAAUUUUUGAUUCAUAUAGUAAUUAAACUCCGUGAUUUAAUUGUAUUAUUUAAUUGACGUACAUACUGGCGUUUCAUAGCAAUCUACACGUUCUGCCAUGUAGAGACGUGCUAAGUCAUUAAUGUUCACAAUUUGGAUGUGGUACAUGAAACCAAACAUAAAAUAAACUGAAUAUCCAAGCUAUUCGGUGCUGCUUUAAAGAAAGCAUUUUUUUUAAAGCGCUUUUUAAUUUGUUUAUUACUUUAAAUUCAUGUUUGUGAGGCUCGGUUAAUUGUUUAAAUUACAUCUUAAUGUACUACUUAACUGUUAAGAUGACGUGUUCACGUUUAUUUACGAAUGUCGAUUUACUACAUUCUUCUAGAUCUCCAUUUUAUAUUUAGUAGCUUUUAUUUGUACUGGUAUCAUUAGAAUUAGGAUAGCUGUAGUUCGGGCUGUGUACAUGUAUUUAUUUAUAUUUGUUAGUCCUGUAUAUUUAUUUUUAAAUACAUCGUGAUUUACAGCUCCAAAAUGUCGUACAAAAGUAAUUAUAAUGUUAUUAACUGAUUCUUACUGAAGUACGAUGUUGACAAAUUCGUGAAUAUAAUGCAUAUGAGCCGCGUUUUAUCACUGAAUUCUGCUAUUUUAAUAUUAUUUAAAGAAAGGUUUUUGUGGCAACUUUUUCGCUUUUGAUUUAGGUCAUAACGUCGCUGCAGAUACACAGUAAAUACAGAAUCCAUAGUUCAAAAAUUUGUGUUAUGUAAACAACGAAUAUUAGUGCAGGCUAGAUAUUUUUCUUUGAAAUUGUUUACAUGCCAUAAAUUUUAAAUAAAUGUAUAGUUGUAUACGUUAGAAACGUGGUUAAUGAACGACAACCCAAAAUUGAAUCCAUAGAAUGUAUUCCUUCUAUACAAAUACAUCGAAAAUAACGUAGAAAAAAAAAAUUUAAACUAAAGCAGGUUUCAAUUUUCUUUACUGAAAUUAGUUCCGUUACAAUAACUAAAAGAAUAAUUAAUAUUUAAAAAAAAAACUAUUCAUAGUUGUCAACACGAAUCAACGCGAAUAAUGAUUAAAACGGAUGCAUGAAAUAGAAAUCCAGGUUUUUUUUUUUUUUUAUUGCUUAGAUGGAUGGACGAGUUAAGUUUAAUGUCAAAGAUUUAUUAUCAACCUACUGGUGCUUUAAGCAAUUUUCGCUAAUUUAAAAGCUUCGAAGCGGCACAUUUUGUUAGUUGUGAUAUAAAUAGAACAGCCAAUCUAGUUCUAUAAUAUUUAGAGGUCAGUGGAUUUAUAGUUUAGCUAAUGCACCUGAAGUUACAUAGCUGUUAUGUAAACAGUUUGAAGUGUCCAUACAUACUUUUUCUCAUACAGCCCAUUAUAGCAAGUGCUCUGAAGACUGCUAUGAUGAACAAAAGACACCGUGUUAAAUUAGGAUUAAACACAAUAUCCACAUUAAAUACAGUCUUUUAAAUUAAUGGGCGUCUGAAUACUAUGACACAAUGUUUGGUACGGUUGCAAUAGUUGUCUUCUCACAUUGUCAUUUAGGUCAUAAAAUAGACUACUGUUUUACAAUAAACUUCACCUUACACUUUUAAUAAAUAAUGUAAUUAAAAAUACAUAUAUACACAAUGACGGAAUAGUUUUGUUUGGCACAAAAGUAAAACUAUGUAAUAGCUACUGAAGCCCCAAAAUUAUAUAAAAAGAUAAAUAAUCAAGUAGUAUUGAUGACAUUAUUAUUAUUGGAUACACAGUAGAUAUAGAUAUGCGAGCGUUUUAAGUCAUCUUUUGUACUUAUGCCUUUUUAAAAUUUAUUUAAAAUAAUGUAUCUUAUGCAAUAAUUCUGUUGUCGUUAUGUGAUUAUGUUAGAUUAGUGAAAUCAUAACGAAGUAACUGUGGAUGUGCAGUGGUGCAAUUGUAUUAAAAAACAAUGUUGUUUUUGUAAUCUAGCAUAAUGUUAGAAUUAACGAUUUUGUAUCGUUUUGUAUCUGAGUAGCCGUGAGGCCGUAUGAAACACGAAUAAAAAUUGAAAAAAUUAUUGUAA